AUUGAACGCUGGCGGCAGGCCUAACACAUGCAAGUCGAGCGAGCGGCGGACGGGUGAGUAAUUUAUUGGGACUGCCCGAUCGAGGGGGAUAACUACUGGAAACGGUGGCUACUACCGCAUACUAUCGGAUAACCCAUAUGGGAUUGGCUAGUAGGUGGGGUAAAGGCUCACCUAGGCGACGAUCUCUAGCUGGUCUGAGAGGAUGAUCAGCAACACUGGGACGGAGAAACGGCCCAUACUCCUACGGAGGCAGCAGUGGGGAAUAUUGCACAAUGAGCGCAAGCCUGAUGCAGCCAUCCGGCGUGUAUGAAGAAGGCCUUAGGGUUGUAAAGUACUUUCAGCGGGGAGGCGUUACCCGCAGAAGAAGCACCGGCUAACUCCGUGCCAGCAGCCGCGGUAAUUC
rnacentral:rRNA from 1 species